rnacentral:rRNA from 1 species
CCUACGGGAGGCAGCAGUGAGGAAUAUUGGUCAAUGGACGAGAGUCUGAACCAGCCAAGUAGCGUGAAGGAUGACUGCCCUAUGGGUUGUAAACUUCUUUUAUAUGGGAAUAAAAUGUUCCACGUGUGGGAUUUUGUAUGUACCAUAUGAAUAAGGAUCGGCUAACUCCGUGCCAGCAGCCGCGGUAAUACGGAGGAUCCGAGCGUUAUCCGGAUUUAUUGGGUUUAAAGGGAGCGUAGGUGGAUGUUUAAGUCAGUUGUGAAAGUUUGCGGCUCAACCGUAAAAUUGCAGUUGAAACUGGCAGUCUUGAGUACAGUAGAGGUGAGCGGAAUUCGUGGUGUAGCGGUGAAAUGCUUAGAUAUCACGAAGAACUCCGAUUGCGAAGGCAGUUCACUGGACUGCAACUGACACUGAGGCUCGAAAGUGUGGGUAUCAAACAGGAUUAGAUACCCCAGUAGUC